CGGGUGCGUAACGCGUAUGCAAUCUACCUUUAACAGAGGGAUAGCCCCGAGAAAUCGGGAUUAAUACCUCAUAAAAUUUUCACAUGGCAUCAUGAGAGAAUCAAAGCUGAGGCGGUUAAAGAUGAGCAUGCGUGACAUUAGCUAGUUGGAGAGGUAACGGCUCACCAAGGCGACGAUGUCUAGGGGUUCUGAGAGGAUGAUCCCCCACACUGGUACUGAGACACGGACCAGACUCCUACGGGAGGCAGCAGUAAGGAAUAUUGGUCAAUGGGCGGGAGCCUGAACCAGCCAUGCCGCGUGCAGGAAGACGGCCUUAUGGGUUGUAAACUGCUUUUAUCGGGGAAUAAAACUUUCUACGAGUAGAGAGCUGAAGGUACCCGAAGAAUAAGCAUCGGCUAACUCCGUGCCAGCAGCCGCGGUAAUACGGAGGAUGCAAGCGUUAUCCGGAUUCAUUGGGUUUAAAGGGUGCGCAGGCGGAUUGGUAAGUCAGUGGUGAAAUUCUAGUGCUUAACAUUAGACCUGCCAUUGAUACUGUCAGUCUAGAGUAUAGUUGGAGUGGGCGGAAUGUGUCAUGUAGCGGUGAAAUGCUUAGAUAUGACGCAGAACACCGAUCGCGAAGGCAGCUCACUAAGCUAAAACUGACGCUCAUGCACGAAAGCGUGGGGAUCAAACAGGAUUAGAUACCCUGGUAGUCCACGCUGUAAACGAUGAUGACUCGAUGUUGGCGAUCACCGUCAGCGUCUGAACGAAAAGUAUUGA
rnacentral:rRNA from 1 species